GGAAUCGGUGUUUCUUUUC
rnacentral:siRNA from 1 species